rfam:Arabis alpina cultivar Pajares Aa.chr6_contig_2821, whole genome shotgun sequence.
AUUCCAUGAUGAGGGCAACUUCUUGUGUAUCCUUUCAAUCUUUCUUAGGCGUCACUGGGUGAUUCUUGACAUCCAUGCCUUAAUGAGUUGAUAUCAUUCCUGAAUUU